rnacentral:rRNA from 1 species
AUUGAACGCUGGCGGCAUGCCUUACACAUGCAAGUCGGGCGGCAGCGCGGGGGCAACCCUGGCGGCGAGCGGCGAACGGGUGAGUAAUACAUCGGAACGUGUCCUGUCGUGGGGGAUAACCAGUCGAAAGAUUGGCUAAUACCGCAUGACCUCGUAAGAGAAAAGCGGGGGAUCGCAAGACCUCGCGCGAUUGGAGCGGCAGAUGUUGGAUUAGCUAGUUGGCGGGGUAAAAGCCACCAAGGCGACGAUCCGUAGCUGGUUUGAGAGAACGACCAGCCACACUGGGACGGCAACACGGCCCGGACGCCUACGGGAGGCAGCAGUGGUGAAUUUUGUACAAUGGGGGCAACCCUGAUCCAGCCAUGCCGCGUGUGUGAAGAAGGCCUUCGGGUUGUAAAGCACUUUCGGCCGGAACGAAAUCGCGCGGGUGAACAUCCCGCGUGGAUGACGGUACCGGAAGAAGAAGCACCGGCUAACUACGUGCCAGCAGCCGCCGUAA